GCUUGGUUCAGAGUGGGGAAAGGUACUAAAACUCAUUUCAUUGUUUUAAAAAGAACAUAGCAAGAUUACAUCUAUUUAGGUCAAAAGGCAUCACAUCACAUUGGGGUCCAUGAACUAAUUACAGCCUAUAUCUAUGAGAAAUGAAUAUAUGAUGAGCAAAAUAGGUCGUGUCAAUUCACAUGUCCAACAGACUUCUUACUGGCUGACAAAUGGAGUAGUAGAUAUCCUUAUGAUAAAGCAACUUAAGACAACCCUAGGCUGAAGAAUAGAUGACUGCACCAAGGAUGUGCUGCAACCUCAUGCUUUUCAUUUAUUCAUUUGCAGUGAUCCUAUUAAUUAG
rnacentral:misc_RNA from 1 species